rnacentral:rRNA from 1 species
AGCUCCAAUAGCGUAUAUUAAAGCUGUUGCAGUUAAAAAGCUCGUAGCUGAAUCUCGGGUCCGGGCGGGGCGGCCCGCCGCGAGGCGAGCAGUCGCCCCCGUCCCGGCCCAACCAGCCGGUAGUGUACACUUUCUCCCGGGGUGCUCUUGGCUGAGUGUCCCGGGCGGCCGGCAUGUUUACUUUGAAAAAAUUAGAGUGCUCAGAGCAGGCCCGGCACGCCCUGCAUAUCUCAAGCAUGGAAUAAUGGAACAGGACCUCGGUUCCGUUCUGUUGGUCUCUCGGAAACUCCGAGGUAAUGAUUAAGAGGGACGGACGGGGGCAUUCGUAUUGCGGGGCGAGAGGUGAAAUUCUUGGACCCUCGCAAGACGAACUACAGCGAAAGCAUUUGCCAAGAACGUU